rnacentral:lncRNA from 1 species
AACCCCUGAGCCUCCAGUAGCAUGAAGCCAUGUUUCUCUUCCAGGGCUUGAUGUCUCACCAGUAUACACAGAGAGACACUUGGUUCCACCUUGGUUCCUUUGCACUUCCAUGGAAGCCUACACACACAGAGGUGGGCUGACAUGAUUUGAAGUAAGUGCUUCCCUCCAGCUCCUUGUAGGCUCCUUGCUUGCCCAUUUUGCAAUCUGUCUGAAUACAUGCAAAUUUCUUCUGCUAAUUCUAAUAGGGUACAUGUGCCUCUAGGUUUGAUGUCUGGAACACAAUAGAUGCCCAACAAAUGCAUGUGCUAUCUCGGAGAGAUUGAUCUCAGGAGCUGGACACUUGAAUUACAAGCAUAUUUCUCCUUGCACACUUUCAUGGGAGGAUCAAAAUGAAUGAGCUAAAAGUUAAAAAUGGCGAGGACACAUCAUUUAGGGCCAGCUUAAUUAGUGAUGGACACAUUUCAGUGUUUUUAUUUCUUGGCUAUUUCAUCCUUCAGAAUUCUGUGACAUUUGAUUGCUCCCUCCAUAUGACCAAGGAAGUAAUGGAAACAAAUCACCAGGUAACGUCACAUAGCUGGUAGCUAAAUAGCUGGAGCUGUCGUUCAACUGAAGGUUUGUUUAUGUUACACCAUUUACUUGUAAGCUACGAUGACAUGUAAAACAUAUAGAAUCAGUUGUGCAAGCAAAGAAAACCUAUAAUAAGACAUUAAAAUGUUUAAAUUGAAAUUAUGCUGUAUAAAAAUUACUUGCUAAACAGAAUAGUAAUAAAGUGCAUGUUUU